UACGUAGGGUGCAAGCGUUUAAUCGGAAUUACUGGGCGUAAAGCGUGCGUAGGCGGCUAUGUAAGACAGAUGUGAAAAUCCCUGGGCUUAACCUGGGAACUGCAUUUGUGACUGCAUUGCUAGAGUGUGGUAGAGGGAGAUGGAAUUCCGCAUGUAGCAGUGAAAUGCGUAGAUAUGCGGAGGAACACCAAUGGCGAAGGCAAUCUCCUGGACCUGCACUGACGCUCAUGCACGAAAGCGUGGGGAGCAAACAGG
rnacentral:rRNA from 1 species